rnacentral:rRNA from 1 species
GACGAACGCUGGCGGCGUGCUUAACACAUGCAAGUCGAACGGAAAGGCCCAGCUUGCUGGGUACUCGAGUGGCGAACGGGUGAGUAACACGUGGGUGAUCUGCCCUGGACUCUGGGAUAAGCCUGGGAAACUGGGUCUAAUACCGGAUAUGACCUUACAUCGCAUGGUGUUUGGUGGAAAGCUUUUGCGGUUCAGGAUGGGCCCGCGGCCUAUCAGCUUGUUGGUGGGGUAAUGGCCUACCAAGGCGACGACGGGUAGCCGGCCUGAGAGGGUGAUCGGCCACACUGGGACUGAGACACGGCCCAGACUCCUACGGGAGGCAGCAGUGGGGAAUAUUGCACAAUGGGCGGAAGCCUGAUGCAGCAACGCCGCGUGAGGGAUGACGGCCUUCGGGUUGUAAACCGCUUUCGCCAGGGACGAAGCGUGAGUGACGGUACCGGGAGAAGAAGCACCGGCUAACUACGUG